rnacentral:rRNA from 1 species
ACUGGCAUUGCCUAGUAGCGGCGAGUGAAGCGGCAAAAGCUCCAUUUUGAAAGCUCUUCGGAGCGUUGUAGAUUGGUGGGAAGCUAACGGCUGGUGGGAGACCAAGUCCUCUGGAACGAGGCGCCAUAGAGGGUGAGAGCCCCGUGUGUCUCCUUUACCGACCUUUCAGCCCCCUCCGCGGAGUCGAGUUGUUUGGGAAUGCAGCUCUAAGUGGGUGGUAAAUUCCAUCUAAGGCUAAAUAUUGGCGAGAGACCGAUAGCGAACAAGUACAGUGAUGGAAAGAUGAAAAGCACUUUGAAAAGAGAGUGAAACAGUACGUGAAAUUGUUGAAAGGGAAGGGUAUUUGGCCCGACAUGGGUCCUAUGCACCGUUGCCUCUCGUGGGCGGCGCUCUGCUUGGGCCUGGGCCAGCGUCAGUUUGGAGGGGGCGAGAAGGGUUUUGGGGAGUUGCCUAGCAAUUCCCCUUUGCUAGAUUGCCCCACACCGGACUGAGGACCGCCAUCUGUAGGAUGCUGGCACAACGGCCAAAUACCGCCCGUCUUGAACCACGGGACCAAAAAAAUGGG